rnacentral:rRNA from 1 species
UCACUGGGCGUAAAGCGUCUGUAGGUGGUUUAAUAAGUCAACUGUUAAAUCUUGAGGCUCAACUUCAAAAUCGCAGUCGAAACUAUUAGACUAGAGUAUAGUAGAGGUAAAGGGAAUUCCAGUGGAGCGGUGAAAUGCGUAGAUAUUGUGAAGAAUACCAAUGGCGAAGGCAGCCUCCUGGAUCUGUACUGACACUGAGGUGCGAAAGCGUGGGUAGCGAACAGGAUUAGAUACCCUGGUAGUCCACGCCGUAAACGAUGUCAACUAGCUGUUGGGGAACUAUGUUCUUCAGUGGCGCAGCUAACGUAGUAAGUUGACCGCCUGGGGAGUACGGCCGCAAGGCUAAAACUCAAAUGAAUUGACGGGGACCCGCACAAGCGGUGGAGCAUGUGGUUUAAUUCGAUGCAACGCGAAAAACCUUACCUAUACUUGACAUACUUGGAAUGCUUUGUAAUGAAGCAGUGCCUUCGGGAGCCAAGAUACAGGUGCUGCAUGGCU